UUCCGGUUGAUCCCGCCGGACCUGACUGCUAUCGGAUUGAUACUAAGCCAUGCGAGUCUUUGUAGUAAUACAAGGCAGACGGCUCAGUAACACGUAGUCAACCUACCCUAUGGACGAGAAUAAUCUCGGGAAACUGAGCAUAAUUCUUGAUAGAUCAUAAUGCCUGGAAUGGUUUAUGGUUAAAAUGAUUCGUCGCCAUAGGAUGGGACUGCGGCCUAUCAGCUUGUUGGUGGGGUAAUGGCCCACCAAGGCGAUUACAGGUACGGGCUCUGAGAGGAGAAGCCCGGAGAUGGGUACUGAGACACGGACCCAGGCCCUAUGGGGCGCGGCAGGCGAGAAAACUUUGCAAUGUGCGAAAGCACGACAAGGUUAAUCCGAGUGAUUUCUGCUAAAGAAAUCUUUUGCAAGUCAUAAAACCACUAGUGAAUAAGGGGUGGGCAAGUUCUGGUGUCAGCCGCCGCGGUAAAACCAGCACCUCAAGUGGUCAGGAUGAUUAUUGGGCCUAAAGCAUCCGUAGCCGGCUUUGUUAGUUUUCGGUUAAAUCCAUGUGCUCAACACAUGGGCUGCCGAAAAUACUGCAUAGCUAGGGAGUGGAAGAGGUAGACGGUACUCAGUAGGAAGGGGUAAAAUCCUUUGAUCUAUUGAUGACCACCUGUGGCGAAGGCGGUCUACCAGAACACGUUCGACGGUGAGGGAUGAAAGCUGGGGGAGCAAACCGGAUUAGAUACCCGGGUAGUCCCAGCUGUAAACGAUGCAGACUCGAUGAUGCAUUGGCAUAUAGCCAUUGCAGUGUCGCAGGGAAGCCGUUAAGUCUGCCGCCUGGGAAGUACGUACGCAAGUAUGAAACUUAAGGAAUUGGGCGGGGGAGCACCACAAGGGGUGAAGCCUGCGGUCAAUUGGAGUCAACGCCGGG
rnacentral:rRNA from 1 species